rnacentral:rRNA from 1 species
GCGUCGAGCGGCGGACGGGUGAGUAAUGCCUAGGAAAUUGCCCUGAUGUGGGGGAUAACCAUUGGAAACGAUGGCUAAUACCGCAUGAUGCCUACGGGCCAAAGAGGGGGACCUUCGGGCCUCUCGCGUCAGGAUAUGCCUAGGUGGGAUUAGCUAGUUGGUGAGGUAAGGGCUCACCAAGGCGACGAUCCCUAGCUGGUCUGAGAGGAUGAUCAGCCACACUGGAACUGAGACACGGUCCAGACUCCUACGGGAGGCAGCAGUGGGGAAUAUUGCACAAUGGGCGCAAGCCUGAUGCAGCCAUGCCGCGUGUGUGAAGAAGGCCUUCGGGUUGUAAAGCACUUUCAGUCGUGAGGAAGGUAGUGUGUUUAAUAGAUGCAUUAUUUGACGUUAGCGACAGAAGAAGCACCGGCUAACUCCGUGCCAGCAGCCGCGGUAAUACGGAGGGUGCGAGCGUUAAUCGGAAUUACUGGGCGUAAAGCGCAUGCAGGUGGUUUGUUAAGUCAGAUGUGAAAGCCCGGGGCUCAACCUCGGAAUAGCAUUUGAAACUGGCAGACUAGAGUACUGUAGAGGGGGGUAGAAUUUCAGGUGUAGCGGUGAAAUGCGUAGAGAUCUGAAGGAAUACCGGUGGCGAAGGCGGCCCCCUGGACAGAUACUGACACUCAGAUGCGAAAGCGUGGGGAGCAAACAGGAUUAGAUACCCUGGUAGUCCACGCCGUAAACGAUGUCUACUUGGAGGUUGUGGCCUUGAGCCGUGGCUUUCGGAGCUAACGCGUUAAGUAGACCGCCUGGGGAGUACGGUCGCAAGAUUAAAACUCAAAUGAAUUGACGGGGGCCCGCACAAGCGGUGGAGCAUGUGGUUUAAUUCGAUGCAACGCGAAGAACCUUACCUACUCUUGACAUCCAGAGAACUUUCCAGAGAUGGAUUGGUGCCUUCGGGAACUCUGAGACAGGUGCUGCAUGGCUGUCGUCAGCUCGUGUUGUGAAAUGUUGGGUUAAGUCCCGCAACGAGCGCAACCCUUAUCCUUGUUUGCCAGCGAGUAAUGUCGGGAACUCCAGGGAGACUGCCGGUGAUAAACCGGAGGAAGGUGGGGACGACGUCAAGUCAUCAUGGCCCUUACGAGUAGGGCUACACACGUGCUACAAUGGCGCAUACAGAGGGCGGCCAACUUGCGAAAGUGAGCGAAUCCCAAAAAGUGCGUCGUAGUCCGGAUUGGAGUCUGCAACUCGACUCCAUGAAGUCGGAAUCGCUAGUAAUCGUGGAUCAGAAUGCCACGGUGAAUACGUUCCCGGGCCUU